rnacentral:lncRNA from 1 species
GAAAAUACCAUGAUAACCAAAGCUGCCGCAGUAAUAUAAACAGACUGAAUAGAGCAACUUCUCAGUUUGCUGUAACAGAGGGAGAAAAUGGCCCAGCUCAUUUACUCAGACACCAAAGAGACAUCUCAGCUCUAUAAAGUCAGCUCUGAAAACACAAAGGUUAAAAACUACGAUUUGUGGUUUAAGAUACAAGAAUGUUUUCUCUUCAGAUUGACUGGGAAGACUUUCUCUUCAGACGGACAGAACUUAUAAAAGUAAGUUCCAAUCUAUUACGUCUAAUUUCAUUUCCUUUCUCAAAGACAAGUAACCGAGAAAUAAAAACCACAGUCAGGGCUCA